UACGUAGGGUGCGAGCGUUAAUCGGAAUUACUGGGCGUAAAGCGUGCGUAGGCGGUUCGUUAAGUCUGAUGUGAAAGCCCCGGGCUCAACCUGGGAAUGGCAUUGGAAACUGGUCAGCUGGAGUGUGGCAGAGGGGGGUGGAAUUCCGCGUGUAGCAGUGAAAUGCGUAGAGAUGCGGAGGAACACCGAUGGCGAAGGCAGCCCCCUGGGCCAACACUGACGCUCAGGCACGAAAGCGUGGGGAGCAAACAGG
rnacentral:rRNA from 1 species